CCUACGGGUGGCAGCAGUGAGGAAUAUUGGUCAAUGGGCGUAAGCCUGAACCAGCCAAGUCGCGUGAGGGAUGAAGGUUCUAUGGAUCGUAAACCUCUUUUAUAAGGGAAUAAAGUGCGGGACGUGUCCCGUUUUGUAUGUACCUUAUGAAUAAGGAUCGGCUAACUCUGUGCCAGCAGCCGCGGUAAUACGGAGGAUCCGAGCGUUAUCCGGAUUUAUUGGGUUUAAAGGGUGCGUAGGCGGCCUUUUAAGUUUGCGGUGAAAGUCUGUGGCUCAACCAUAGAAGUGCCGUUGAAACUGGGCGGCUUGAGUGUAGGUGGGGUAGGCGGAAUUCGUGGUGUAGCGGUGAAAUGCUUAGAUAUCACGAAGAACCCCGAUUGCGAAGGCAGCCUGCCGGGCCAUGACUGACGCUGAGGCACGAAAGCGUGGGGAUCAAACAGGAUUAGAUACCCCUGUAGUC
rnacentral:rRNA from 1 species